rnacentral:rRNA from 1 species
AUUGAACGCUGGCGGCAUGCCUUACACAUGCAAGUCGAACGGUAACAGGUCUUCGGAUGCUGACGAGUGGCGAACGGGUGAGUAAUACAUCGGAACGUGCCUGAUCGUGGGGGAUAACGAAGCGAAAGCUUUGCUAAUACCGCAUACGAUCUACGGAUGAAAGCAGGGGACCGCAAGGCCUUGCGCGAACGGAGCGGCCGAUGGCAGAUUAGGUAGUUGGUGGGAUAAAAGCUUACCAAGCCGACGAUCUGUAGCUGGUCUGAGAGGACGACCAGCCACACUGGGAAUGAGACACGGCCCAGACUCCUACGGGAGGCAGCAGUGGGGAAUUUUGGACAAUGGGCGAAAGCCUGAUCCAGCCAUGCCGCGUGCAGGAUGAAGGCCCUCGGGUUGUAAACUGCUUUUGUACGGAACGAAAAGACUCUGGUUAAUACCUGGGGUCCAUGACGGUACCGUAAGAAUAAGCACCGGCUAACUACGUGCCAGCCGCCGCAGUAA